rnacentral:rRNA from 2 species
GUGGGUAGUUUGACUGGGGCGGUCUCCUCCUAAAGAGUAACGGAGGAGCACGAAGGUUGGCUAAUCCUGGUCGGACAUCAGGAGGUUAGUGCAAUGGCAUAAGCCAGCUUGACUGCGAGCGUGACGGCGCGAGCAGGUGCGAAAGCAGGUCAUAGUGAUCCGGUGGUUCUGAAUGGAAGGGCCAUCGCUCAACGGAUAAAAGGUACUCCGGGGAUAACAGGCUGAUACCGCCCAAGAGUUCAUAUCGACGGCGGUGUUUGGCACCUCGAUGUCGGCUCAUCACAUCCUGGGGCUGAAGUAGGUCCCAAGGGUAUGGCUGUUCGCCAUUUAAAGUGGUACGCGAGCUGGGUUUAGAACGUCGUGAGACAGUUCGGUCCCUAUCUGCCGUGGGCGCUGGAGAACUGAGGGGGGCUGCUCCUAGUACGAGAGGACCGGAGUGGACGCAUCACUGGUGUUCGGGUUGUCAUGCCAAUGGCACUGCCCGGUAGCUAAAUGCGGAAGAGAUAAGUGCUGAAAGCAUCUAAGCACGAAACUUGCCCCGAGAUGAGUUCUCCCUGAGACUUAAAGUCUCCUGAAGGAACGUUGAAGACGACGACGUUGAUAGGCCGGGUGUGUAAGCGCAGCGAUGCGUUGAGCUAACCGGUACUAAUGAACCGUGAGGCUUAACCCUACAA